GCAGGAUCUUGGCCCUUUUGUUAUAGCUAGAGAUGAGCUGAUGUUGGUAGACUGCGAUGCGGGUGAUGACCUUCUCACUUUUCUCCUCUGCCAUAUCUAAGUUUGUGGCCAUCUCAUUUCUGUUUUGUUCGAUGUUUGGCAGUAGAGUGCUGAUACUUGGCAGGAUGACAUUAUAAGGAAUGAUUGCUUCUGAACCAAAUGCCAAAAAGAAAUGAGUCUCGUUGAUUGCUUGUCGUUUGGUUGUGUGAUACGCCCAUAGACAUCUGGGAAGUUCGUCUGGCCAUUUUUCCUUCUUAUCGGAGAGGAAGUUCUUGAGGUAGUCGAGAAUCGUCUU
rnacentral:lncRNA from 1 species